rnacentral:lncRNA from 1 species
AACAAGUUGGGAAACCAAUAGAACGCUUCGCGUUUUCUUAUCUUCUUCCCUCCCUAGGAGUAGCACAAAAAGAGGGAUUAACAUUAUUGACCCAAUGAUAAACCACUAACACCCUCCUCGUUGGGUCUCCGCGCACUGGGAAAAGGCUCUAGCGAUGGGAAAGCGGCCACUACUAACAAAGCUCCAAUAAGGUAUCGAUCGAGCGAGAACGCGUUUUCUUAUCUUCUUCCCGCCCUAGGAGUAGCACAAAAAGAGGGAUUAGCAUUAUUGACCCAAUGAUAAACCACUAACACCCUCCUCGUUGGGUCUCCGCGCACUGGGAAAAGGCUCUAGCGAAUGGAAAGCGGCCACUACUAACAAAGCUCCAAUAAGGUAUCGAUCGAGCGAGAGGGCUAUCACAGUCAGGUGCGAAGCAAUUACCCCCUUUUUGUAAAGUACCCCUCUUCCUAUUUAGUUUAGAGGGUUGAGGCGAGAAAUGGCUUGAUGAACCGUUCCGUUCGCCAUGCACCGACCCCAUUCACUUGCUUAUCGUAGAGGCUGUAAGUAC